GCCCCGCCCACCUGCGUCUCCUUAGAAACAGACGUGAAUUUGAAGUGCGCCAUGUUUCCUCACCGUCACCUUCGACGGUCAGGCAUGAGCGCUCUCCUCUCCUCUCAUGGAUGGAUCAAGGCACACGCUCAAUUAGCACCGCAUGGUGAUGAUCGCCUGUCUGUGUUGGCGUCACUGUUUUUAUGACUGAAAAGUAGGACAGCGGAUCUGUUGUGGGUCACAGUGGAACAGGCAAGGCAAAAACACCCCCCCACACACAUACAUGCACACAGACACACAUGCACACAGACACACAUGUUUAAACCCACUGAAACAACUAGCCAAGUGAAUGGUGCAAUAAGCCUUCCUCAACAAACAAACACACACACACACACACAAAAAUUAAUCCACAGCUCAAAAUCUCUCGUGCCGCAUCUCUCUAACAGCAUCACUCAACACAAACAUCAUCUGUCGUGUCGUGCGCCGCGUCCAGAGUCAUUAUUUCGCCAAACUAUAAAAAUAUUGAAGAUGCUAAAAGUGAUUAGCGUUGGAGCUGUCCGGUGUGUGUCCUUUGUUGGCCGAGGGCAUAUUUGUGUUUGUGUAUCUCCAUUGUGACGCGUGUAAUCCGCAUGCUCUCUAAUCCCAGAGCAGGUGGCCAGGCGUGUGGCGGCUGUGGGGGUGCAGAGAGGACACACUCCUCCUGCUCCCCUAAACACACACACACUAACACACAUAUGAUUGAUUCGCAAACGCCAUAAACACAUCAAUGCUCGCUCCACACUCUGAUGCUUCGUAUUACCACAGGGGAGAGGAAACACAUAGAGACACACACCUGCACUCAUUCACACACACAUGCACGCCUAAUGCCCAUAUA